rnacentral:rRNA from 1 species
GAUGAACGCUGGCGGCGUGCCUAAUACAUGCAAGUCGAGCGAACAGACGAGGAGCUUGCUCCUCUGACGUUAGCGGCGGACGGGUGAGUAACACGCGGAUAACCUACCUAUAAGACUGGGAUAACUUCGGGAAACCGGAGCUAAUACCGGAUAAUAUAUUGAACCGCAUGGUUCAAUAGUGAAAGACGGUUUUGCUGUCACUUAUAGAUGGAUCCGCGCCGCAUUAGCUAGUUGGUAAGGUAACGGCUUACCAAGGCAACGAUGCGUAGCCGACCUGAGAGGGUGAUGGGCCACACUGGAACUGAGACACGGUCCAGACUCCUACGGGAGGCAGCAGUAGGGACUCUUCCGCAAUGGGCGAAAGCUUGACGGAGCAACGCCGCGUGAGUGAUGAAGGUCUUCGGAUCGUAAAACUCUGUUAUUAGGGAAGAACAAAUGUGUAAGUAACUAUGCACGUCUUGACGGUACCUAAUCAGAAAGCCACGGCUAACUACGUG